rnacentral:piRNA from 1 species
UGAUGCCAGGUAUUACUACUUUUUGG